rnacentral:lncRNA from 1 species
AUAAGAAAGGUGUUUAAGAUGUUUUUAAAGUGUUUUUAUCAUGUUUGCAUGUUUUUGAGUUAAGAAAAGUGAGUUUUGAAAUGAAAAGGCCAAGGGGACAAAAGCCAGGUUCGGCCGCCGAAGGUGAAGUUCGGCCGCCGAAAGUUGCAUGGUUUCGCAUGCACGUUAGGCCGCCGAAGGAGAGGCGGUUGGCCACUACAAAAG